AGAGAUAAUUAUAAAACCCAUGUUUAAUAUACCUUAAGUAUAAACUUUUUUAAUCACAAACUAGGUACACGUUUUAUGUAUCAGAAUUAAGCUACACGCCUCAGAUAUUCAGUGUUUAGUAAUGAUAAUGCAUAUAUAUUUAAGAACAACUCUUUACAUAAAAAAUUACCAUACUAUUAUUUAGUUCUAAGCAAAGUUUUUAAAUAAAUAGGCUUCUUAAAUAAAUUAUUUUCUGAAUUUACAAUAUCUUUAUAGUAUAAAUACGUUAAAUAUAUUUCUUUCAUAAAAGGUAAUUUAAAUUAGCUUAAGCAACACUAUUUCGCCAUGCUCAAUAGUAGGGUUGCCAUAUUCCCUGAUUUGUCAGUGAAUUUCCUGAUUUUGACUUCGGCACUGAUUCCCUAAUUUUCGUGAAAAAUUAUUCCCUAGUUUCCUCCUCAAUCGCCAAUUUUUUUUAAUUUUUUCGAGCGCACAUAUGCAACUGGACUGACUUUGACUGAGACCCAUAUGUUAAUCCAACUCAAUAGUAAUACUGGAUAUUUGAAGAUAUUUGAAUACUGUCGGUAUUUUGAUGGGUCGGUAUCUUGAGCUUCGGUAUGUUUAUGCAGCUUGCAGAUUGAAAUAACUAAAUAGAUACGGAUACAAACAAAUUGUAUUGCAAAAAUAUAAAUUAGGCUGUGAAUAAGCAUUUUCUGGACCCCACUAUUUGGCUUGGUUGCUUAUUUACACCUAACAUUUUUCUGUGAACAUUUAUUAACUUACCACAGUUAAAAAGAGGCAUAAAUAAAAAAACUUAAUUAUUAAUGUAUUUUCUCAUAAUAUCUUCUUCUUUAAGAAUAUAUAUUAAAAUAAUACGAUUUUCUUUUGAAAAUAUAUUACAGUUUUAUAAGUAGCCCAUAUUUUUGGCACAACUUUUCUAUACAUUUUGGAAAAUAACACAGUGCAACCAUUUUCCGGUUAAAAGUUGGUCAUCUUGGAUGCCAGUAGAAACUCAACCCCGGACUCUCCUUGACGUUUCUACAGUGUCAUACUGAUUAUUUUGGUUUUUCACUUUUUAACGUUCGCUGCCGAUGUUCAUUGUCUUCGUUAAGUCAGUGCCCCCGUUUAUGGUAUCUUUUUAUAGUAGUAAUCCCACUAUGUAUGUAUAUUCGAUUGAUCAAACCGAGUUGCGUGCACUUGUGAAUGAUGGUUACGUGAAUCCAAACGAUUUUGGGAAGUUAUAUUACUGUCUACAUGCACGGGGGGUUCACGACACUGCAUGAAUACACACAAGAUGGGAUUAUAUACCCUCGGAUGGUGGUGAUGCCAGUUGUAAAAAUUCAUUUUAGUUACAAUUGGAAAAACUUUUCUCAAGUUGUUGACUUUUCUACGUACAAAUGCAAGACAGAUUUAUAUAUCUACUUAUAUAAAAAAGAAAAGAUACUUGUGACCAUAAUAUGUAUUUUCUUUAAACAUAUUGCAGUUCCAUUUAAUGAAAAUGCUUAUAUAAAUAUAUUAUGUGUGAUAUUUUCAGUUUGGUAGUGGUACCAAAAUAUUCAAUUGAGUUUUUUUUUCUAUAAUUGUUUUGUUAAAUUUUAAAGAUCUAAGCUGCCUCUGGAAAUGUAUUAAAAUAAUAAUACACGCUUUAGAAAGGGAACACAUAUUUUCCAAAAAUAAAAAAUAAAAACUUAUAAAUUUGCUAGGUAUGACAAUAUAAUUGAGAGUGUCUUAGCACACAAAUGUAAUACAAACGCUAAUUUGUGUGCUGAACGCUCAUUCGAGCAUAUGUAUUUAAAGAAACAGUGGUUAAUAAACUGAAGUUAUUAUUGAAAUUACUUUUUUGCUUCGAAAAUUAUAUCGAUGUUUAGAAGCACCUACACUGUAAAACAUUUUUUUUUAAUAAUGAAAUUAAACAAACAUAAAAUAAUAAGUAGGUUAUCUGAUUUAAAUUUUGCUACAAUAAUGCGUGGAACUACUGAAAAUGAGGUUAAACCACACAUAGAAUUUAUUAUUUCAAAUAAACUACGUUAAAUGCUGUUAUAAAGAUAUAUCAAAAAAAAUAUUACUAAAAUAAAAUAUUUGUUAUACAUUUUAUUAUAGAUUUAUAAUAGUUAUAAAGAAACUUAAAAUUGUUAGGCAAUUUUACAAUUGUUACCCACAGUGCAACUUCCCAUUUAAGCGUGCUCUCAUUUGUAAAUAUGGAGUGAUAAAAUACGUUGCUGUCACUUCCCUCUUCAUGUUUGCCCGCGAUGAUCCUCUCAUCUAGCCCUCAAUGUGCACGCGUGCCCAAGCGGUGCAAAAUGUCACUGAGGGGCAAUAUGCUCACCUCUGAUUUACGCAAUGUACGAUCAUAGAAAGCAUUCGUUUAUGUGGAAAGAAUUUUCCCAAUAAACCAACAAAAACUACAAAUAACUUCAUUGGCUUAUGCCUGGUUUUCACUAGGUCAUAUUUGACGUCAAAUGUUGUCAAAAUAAUGAAAACGGGUUGUCAUUUGCGUUUGCCGGCAUAUUUGGCAGUGUACGGUCAUUUCAAAUGACAGUCAAAUGAAAACAAUCAAUGUUCGAUAUGUGGCAACAUUUGACAACUAAUUUUGGCAAUUAUUUUCGUUUGCCGCACAAACAGCAGUUACAAAAAUUAAAAACAAAAACGGUUUUUCAAAUUUCAAGUUUCAAAUAUGGAGGAAGAAAUGAAUUCAGAAAUUCAAAGUUGCAGCCAAAUGGAACAGCCUUCGCUGCUCUUUUCGCUUAAGCGGCCUUCAACCGAAAGGCACAUACAAAAAGUGGUCAAGGUGCUGGAAGAACGCCUACAAUGAACCCACUUUAUAAUUCCUUAAAGUUCCUGGAGCCAACCUUGCGUGUUGAAGCGAAGACGACAACAAAUUUAUUUAAUGCAAGUAUACGCAUUUAUGCAUACAUAUGUCUGUAAAAAUAAUACUAUUUGUUUUCAAUGUGCAUAUUUGUUUUUACAGGGCAACGCGUCGACCCUGACCCCUGGAACAAUAUUAGUUGAGGCGCAAGAUGCAAGUUUAUCUGGUGAAAUGCAACCAACGCCAUCCACUUCAUUCAAUUUAGGGAGACGUCGAGCUCGUGAUGAUGAUGAGUACAUUCAAGUGGUGGAACGUGCACUGGAGACCCUCACAUCAGCUACUAAAAGUGACGCUUGGGAUGAUUUGGGAAAUUUUGUUUCAUCCAAUGGCCGAGAGUUGGCCCAAGAAUCUAAAGGAACAUGAAAAUAUUUUGUAUUUGCAAAAUAACUUAAAUUAUAGAAUUACAUAUUUAUAAAAGAGGAAAGUACUACAAAGACGAAUUAUGUAAUAUCGUCCUAUUAUAUUGCCAUUCAACUUCUCCAUGAGGAGUUAUGAAAUACUCCAUAAAACUUUCACGGACAUUUAUCGCGCUGUCUGCUGGCCUACCUAAAAUACUGCUUGGCCGAACUGAUGGAAGCAUUCCAUUUUCUCCCAACUCCAUUCGCCAAUUACCUGGAUCAGUAAUGCCAUUUGUAUCUUUGUCUACAUCAGAUCAUCGUAUAUAUAUAGACUUGCGUCUUAACAAAUAAUUACGCAAUAUGCAAAUCGCGAGAACAAUCCUUUGAGUGUUCGAAAACGUGAUGCACAUAUGCCGAACACAUUUUCCACAACAUUUCUGGCUCUGGAUAGCAUAUAAUUAAAUAUUUUGUACGACAUAACUUGAUUGCGGAAGCUAAAUGGUUUCAUCAAGUACGUUUUUAACGGAAAAGCGUCGUCAGCUACAAUGACAAAUGUCAUUUCAUCACGUUCAUGUGGAAGUGGUUUCGGCGACGGAAAAUUUAACUUGUUUUCUGCAAGAGCCAUUGAAAGAGCACAUCUGAAUAUGUUACAAUAGUAAGAUAUUUUAAUUAUGAACAUUUAAUGUUAUUAUUUUGUAAUAGCUUUACCUUGCGAAAACGCCUCCAUCAGAUUCACGACCAUAAGCUCCAACAUCUACAUACAAAAGUUUGUAGUCCGCAUCAACCAUAGCCAUCAGAACAAUGCUAUUAUAUUUCUUAUAAUUGAAAUAUUCUGAAUCGCAGUUCGCAGGCACUUGAAUCGCUAUGUGCUUUCCAUCCAAUGCCCCACAGCAGUUAGGGAAAUGCCAUCGCUGGUAAAAAUGAUCCGAUACUUUUGUCCAUUCCUCAUGAGUGUCGGGAACCUUAUUAGAAUCCACAUUAUAUUUUUUCACAAACUAACGAACAGAUAUGAAUACUCACUUUUAAAAACUCAUUCUUUAACCACACGUGUUAUGCACUAUAUGGCAGAUGGUAGUUUUCCCCAAUAGAAAAACACUCAUCAAACUCGAGAAGUUAUCACCUGUGGCUAAAUAGCGUAGUGUUACCGGCAGUCUUUCACCGACCGAGAUCGCUUCACGGAAUCGUGUGUUUCUUUUGUAAAUAAAUGGAGUAAGACGCACCACUAAAAAAUCGAAAUCUUCCAGAGUCAUCUUCAGGAAGUUCUUCAACCACUUUUGGUCCUGAGAAACCAGCUUGGAUCGAAGUGUGGAGUAAAAUCCACUGGUGCAACGAGUCCUUAAUCCUGGUCUCAUCCACCACUGCUUUGGUUUCCUUUGCUGAGUCCUUUUCUUUUUCCAAGCUUUUAAUGACAAUAUAAGACAUAACGCCGCAGUUACUAUUGUAAUUUUUCUAUUUUUAUUAAUUUUUACACUUUCACGCACUUAUUUGAAAAUAAUUAUAUUUUCAAUUUAACAGCUGUCAAAAUUGCCUGUUCACAAUUGACAUAAAUGAAAACAGGUGGUCAAUCAUCUGACACCAAAAAUUGACGAAAGUUUUUGAAAGGCACUGCAGUAUCGACAUUCAGUCAGUUUGGAUGUUGUAAUGAAAACGCAUUUGCCACCAAAAGCACAGCUGUUCGUUUAGGCAGUUUUUGAUGUCAAUUAUUUUGACCUAGUGAAAACCAGGCAUUAGUACGAGUACAUACUUGUGGCAUAUUAGCAUAAAAAAAUGGAAUACACGGUGAAAGGAUAACAUAUACGUCCAUCGAUGCUGUGGUAAAUCAAGACGAAGUUGUAAACUAUCCAAUUAAAUUCUUGAAUUCGAUUGAUUUGCCAUCAAAACGCUGUAAUGUCACAAUUUUUUCGAAAUAAACAAAAGUAAUGACUGAAAAAAUAUUAGUGUUUUUGGUGCAGUAUUAUUGUUAGUUAAUAUUAAUAUUUAUUUUUAUAAUACACAUGAAAGUGUAGUUUUCUUCAAGAAGAUUAUUUGAUAUAGUUAUAGAUUUACAUACAUAUGUAUGUAAAUAGAAAUGAUGAAUAUUACGAGUCUAGUUGAAUUCCGGGCUGGGAUUUAGAAUAGCAUCCCCGGAUUUCGGGAGUAAAAUGGGUAUCACUGGAAAGGUGACAUUCUCCAGAUCUCCAAAUAUAUACAGGUAUCCCUCGAAUAACACGGUUAAUUGGUUCCGUGUUAUUCGAAAUCGUGUUAUUUGAAAUUUAAAAGGUAAAACUUUAUAAACGCAAUAAUUUUUAAAUUACAUAUGUUCAACCACUGUCACUCUCCAAAGAUUGAUUUGUUUUUCCUUGAAGAGGUAGAGGAUCCUUAAAUUUCAAUUUUUAAAAGGAAUUUUCGCGGCUUCGUGUAAUUCGAACCCCGUGUUAUUCGAGGGUUGUCGCAAUUUUUAACCGUGCUAUUCGAGAUUUCGUGCAACUCAAGUACCGUGCUAUUCGAGGGAUACCUGUAUAUAUA